UUACCCGCUGAAACUUAAGCAUAUCAAUAAGCGGAGGA
rnacentral:rRNA from 1 species